UACAGAGGGUGCGAGCGUUGUUCGGAAUUACUGGGCGUAAAGCGCGCGCAGGCGGCUCUUUAAGUCUACCCGUGAAAUGCCGGAGCUCAACUCCGUGCACGCCGGGGGAUACUGGAGAGCUGGAGACAUGUAGAGGCAAGCGGAAUUCCGGGUGUAGCGGUGGAAUGCGUAGAGAUCCGGAAGAACACCGGAGGCGAAGGCGGCUCUCUGGGCCUUACCUGACGCUGAGGAGCGAAAGCGUGGGUAGCGAACAGG
rnacentral:rRNA from 1 species